UAGAUUUGUAUCACUUGCCAGCUGAAAGCGACCUCUGAAAUGCGGAAGAGCAGCCCCGUCAACAAGGCCUGCAAUUAUAUAAAUUCAAGAUGGAUAAAUGUCGAUGGCAGUGAUGAUGUGUGUCGAUGUUGCGACGAUACAUGCUCCAGCAACUCUCCCACCGGUCAAACAAACCUCGGAAGUCUGAUCCCUGAAGAUUUGGUGGCAUGUG